ensembl:misc_RNA Metazoa_SRP Metazoan signal recognition particle RNA
GCUGGGUGUGGUGGCUCACGCCUGUAAUCCUAGCACUUUGGGAGGCCGAGGCAGGUGGAUCACCUGAGGUCAGGAGUUCAAGACCAGCCUGGCCAACAUGGUGAAACCCUGUCUCUA